UACGAAGGGGGCUAGCGUUGUUCGGAAUUACUGGGCGUAAAGCGCGCGCAGGCGGCUAUCCAAGUCAGUGGUGAAAGCCCGGAGCUCAACUCCGGAAUUGCCAUUGAAACUGUUUAGCUUGAGGACGAGAGAGGUGAGUGGAAUUCCCAGUGUAGAGGUGAAAUUCGUAGAUAUUGGGAAGAACACCGGUGGCGAAGGCGGCUCACUGGCUCGUUUCUGACGCUCAGGCGCGACAGCGUGGGGAUCAAACAGG
rnacentral:rRNA from 1 species